rnacentral:tRNA from 1 species
GGAGGAGUGGCCGAGCGGCUGAAGGCGCUGGUUUUGAAAACCAGUGUACGGGUGACCGUACCGGGGGUUCGAAUCCCUCCUCCUCCG